rnacentral:rRNA from 1 species
UGGGGAAUAUUGCACAAUGGGCGAAAGCCUGAUGCAGCGACGCCGCGUGAGCGAAGAAGUAUUUCGGUAUGUAAAGCUCUAUCAGCAGGGAAGAAAAUGACGGUACCUGACUAAGAAGCACCGGCUAAAUACGUGCCAGCAGCCGCGGUAAUACGUAUGGUGCAAGCGUUAUCCGGAUUUACUGGGUGUAAAGGGAGCGUAGACGGUUGUGUAAGUCUGAUGUGAAAACCCGGGGCUCAACCCCGGGACUGCAUUGGAAACUAUGCAGCUAGAGUGCCGGAGAGGUAAGCGGAAUUCCUAGUGUAGCGGUGAAAUGCGUAGAUAUUAGGAGGAACACCAGUGGCGAAGGCGGCUUACUGGACGGUAACUGACGUUGAGGCUCGAAAGCGUGGGGAGCAAACAGGAUUAGAUACCC